CCGUUGGAUCCUUGAGAUUUUAGUGGCGCAGCUAACGCAUUAAGUUGACCGCCUGGGGAGUACGGCCGCAAGGUUAAAACUCAAAUGAAUUGACGGGGGCCCGCACAAGCGGUGGAGCAUGUGGUUUAAUUCGAAGCAACGCGAAGAACCUUACCAGGCCUUGACAUCCAAUGAACUUUCCAGAGAUGGAUUGGUGCCUUCGGGAANAUUGAGACAGGUGCUGCAUGGCUGUCGUCAGC
rnacentral:rRNA from 1 species